AGCCCGCUCAGGUGUGCCAGCAGCCGCGGUAAUACAGAGGUCUCAAGCGUUGUUCGGAAUCACUGGGCGUAAAGCGUGCGUAGGCGGUUUCGUAAGUCGUGUGUGAAAGGCGGGGGCUCAACCCCCGGACUGCACAUGAUACUGCGAGACUAGAGUAAUGGAGGGGGAACCGGAAUUCUCGGUGUAGCAGUGAAAUGCGUAGAUAUCGAGAGGAACACUCGUGGCGAAGGCGGGUUCCUGGACAUUAACUGACGCUGAGGCACGAAGGCCAGGGGAGCGAAAGGG
rnacentral:rRNA from 1 species